rnacentral:rRNA from 1 species
CAGGUACAGAACUGUCAUCUCAAGAAAUUUGUAAAAAAAAUGCAUUUUAAUAAAUGGGGGGGCGUGAAAACCCUAUUCGUUUGUAUACGCACUCGGAAGGGCUAAGAUGAAUAUUAAGUAAUCAGACAUAGUACGAUAAGGUUGUAUGUCUAAAGGGAAACAGCCCAGAACAAGAGUUAAUAAGGUUCCAAAAUUAUUGUUAAGUGAAAAUAAGGAAGUAUUUAUCCUAUUCGGCCAGGAAAUAGGCUUAGAAGCGGCCAUUUUUUGAAGACCUCGUAACAGAGCACUGGUUAAGUAAGUAAAAACUGUAAUAAGUAUAAUAGUUUACAUUGAUAAAAGCACCUAAAAUUUAACGGAUCUAAAACAAUAUACCGAGACCUUGUCCAUAAUUAGUAAUAUAUCUAAGUGAUAUGUUAUCUUUAUGGGGUAGCAGAACAUAGGGCAAAUCUAAGACUAUUUCUUAUUAAGAUUUAAAAUAAGAUAACCCUAGAGAUAAUGCUGACAUGAGUAACGAUAAAGGGAAUGAUUCCCUCGCCUAAAGCUUAUGGUAUUUCUUUAAAGUAACGGCCUCUAAGUUUAUAUAUGCUAUAAAAAAUAUAUCCGGGAUUAACGUUGGAAAUAAACUAAAUAGAUGAUACAAUUAGUAUUUGUAACAUACUAAACAUAUGUUACAAGUACAGUUUUCGGAUUAAUAGAAUAUCCCUAAGGGAUUAAACGAUGAGAAAAUCUAGUAGAGUUUAAAGGUAAAAUAACCUUUGUGCACAAAAAGAUCUGCCUAAUCACUAGUAAUGAAGGGUAGGUUAUAUUGUGUAAAUGUGACAGAGUGUUCUGGAAAAACUUUAAACUCACAUGGGCAUAAAGUAAAAUUUUUUUUAUUUUUCGUACCAAUGUAAUGAACCGUACCUAGAAACCACCACCAGUAAGUUAGUAGAAGAAUACGUAAGGUCGUUUG